UGCAAGGUGGCCGAGUGUUAAGGUGUUGGUUUGUAAAACCAGUUAUAAGGGUUCAAUUCCCUUUCUUGUGG
rnacentral:tRNA from 1 species